GAAGCGGGAAGAGCUCAAGCUGAAAAUCUUCGGAAUUGUAGUCUAUAGGUGCAGACUCGUGCAACUUCGGGUGUAAAUCCGUUCAUGGAACUGGGUGCCAGAGAGGGUUAGAGCCCCGUCUUCGACCCUGAAUGUUGUGCGUGGCGAGCAGGCACCAGCGAGUCGGCUUGCUUGGGAAUGCAGGUCAAAAUGGGUGGUAAACUUCAUCUAAAGCUAAAUAUUGGCGAGAGACCGAUAGCGAACAAGUACUGUGAAGGAAAGAUGGAAAGAACUUUGAAAAGAGAGUGAAAAAGGGCUUGAAAUUGUUAAGAGGAGAAGUGAUUGGAGCAUAUCAUACUAUCAAAGACAAAUGGCAGGGAUUUAUCCUCGCAAUGAAGCCUUUGGUAGUUGGUCAGCAUCAGUUUGAGGUUGGGGAGACUACAUUUACCAUGAAACCUAGUGAUUGGUAAGUGGGAAACCCAGCCUGAGACUGAGGCACAAAGAACGCGCAUAGCGCCCGGCCUAAAUCCUUCUAUAUUGUAGUCCAACACUCUUCGGAGUGUUGUCUGCACUGUGGUUGAUAUUUGGGUUGCAGGACCUGCGUUCUGAAGAUGCUGGCACAAUGGCUUCAAUCAGCCCGUCUUGAAACACGGACCAAGGAGUCUAACACGUAUGCAAGUAGUAAGGUGGCAAACCUUGGAUGCGCAAUGAAAGUAAACGUAGGUGGGAUUCGUAAGAUGCACCAUCGACCGACCAGGAUCAUCUGUGAAAGGUUUGAGUAAGAGCAUAUUUGUUGGGACCCGAAAGAUGGUGAACUAUGCCUGAAUAGGGUGAAGCCAGAGGAAACUCUGGUGGAGGCUCGUAGCGGUACUGACGUGCAAAUCGUUCGUCAAAUUUGGGUAUAGCGGCGAAAGACUAAUCGAACCAUCUAGUAGCUGGUUCCCUCCG
rnacentral:rRNA from 1 species